GACGAACGCUGGCGGCGUGCCUAAUACAUGCAAGUAGAACGCUGAAGCUUGGUGCUUGCACCUAGCGGAUGAGUUGCGAACGGGUGAGUAACGCGUAGGUAACCUGCCUGGUAGCGGGGGAUAACUAUUGGAAACGAUAGCUAAUACCGCAUAAGAGUAGAUGUUGCAUGACAUUUGCUUAGAAGGUGCAAUUGCAUCACUACCAGAUGGACCUGCGUUGUAUUAGCUAUUUGGUGAGGUAACGGCUCACCAAGGCAACGAUACAUAGCCGACCUGAGAGGGAGAUCGGCCACACUGGGACUGAGACACGGCCCAGACUCCUACGGGAGGCAGCAGUAGGGAAUCUUCGGCAAUGGACGGAAGUCUGACCGAGCAACGCCGCGUGAGUGAAGAAGGUUUUCGGAUCGUAAAGCUCUGUUGUAAGAGAAGAACGAGUGUGAGAGUGGAAAGUUCACACUGUGACGGUAUCUUAACAGAAAGGGACGGCUAACUACGUG
rnacentral:rRNA from 1 species